UACAGAGGUCUCAAGCGUUGUUCGGAUUCAUUGGGCGUAAAGGGUGCGUAGGCGGCGCGGUAAGUCGGGUGUGAAAUCUCGGAGCUUAACUCCAGAACUGCCUUUGAUACUGGGAAUCUCGAGUCCGGGAGAGGUGAGUGGAACUGCGAGUGUAGAGGUGAAAUUCGUAGAUAUUCGCAAGAACACCAGUGGCGAAGGCGGCUCACUGGCCCGGUACUGACGCUGAGGUGCGAAAGCGUGGGGAGCAAACAGG
rnacentral:rRNA from 1 species